rnacentral:rRNA from 1 species
ACUAAAUAGAUACCCUGGUAGUCCACGCCCUAAACGAUGUCUACUAGUUGUUGGUGGAGUAAAAUCCAUGAGUAAACGCAGCUAAACGCGUGAAGUAGACCGCCUGGGGAGUACGGUCGCAAGAUUAAAACUCAAAGGAAUUGACGGGGGCCCGCACAAGCGGUGGAUUAUGUGGAUUAAAUUCGAUGCAACGCGAAAAACCUUACCUGGCCUUGACAUGCCACUAACGAAGCAGAGAUGCAUUAGGUGCCCGUAAGGGAAAGUGGACACAGGUGCUGCAUGGCUGUCGUCAGCUCGUGUCGUGAGAUGCUGGGUUAAGUCCCGCAACGAGCGCAACCCUUGCCAUUAAUUGCCAUCAUUUAGUUGGGCACUUUAAUGGGACUGCCGGUGACAAACCGGAGGAAGGUGGGGAUGACGUCAAGUCCUCAUGGCCCUUAUGGCCAGGGCUUCACACGUAAUACAAUGGUCGGUACAGAGAGUUGCCAACCCGCGAGGGGAGCUAAUCUCAGAAAGCCGAUCGUAGUCCGGAUUGUUCUCU